rnacentral:tRNA from 1 species
GGCUAGCUAGCUCAGUUGUUUAGAGCGUCGUGCUAAUAACGCGAAGGUCGUAGGUUCGAUCCCUGCGCAGGCCA